rnacentral:misc_RNA from 1 species
UCUCCGUAGGUGAACCUGCGGAGGGAUCAUUACAGAGUUUUUGCCCGCAAGGGUAGAUCUCCCACCCUAUGUUAUUCCUUCUCUGUUGCUUUGGCGGGCCGUCCGGCCUCGGUCAGGCCACCGGUUCCGGCUGGUGAGCGCCCGCCAGAGGACCCCAAACCCUAAAUGUCAGUGUCGUCUGAGUACUAUAUAAUAGUUAAAACUUUCAACAACGGAUCUCUUGGUUCUG